rnacentral:rRNA from 1 species
GAUGAACGCUGACAGAAUGCUUAACACAUGCAAGUCAACUGUGGCGGACGGGUGAGUAACGCGUAAAGAACUUGCCUCACAGUUAGGGACAACAUUUGGAAACGAAUGCUAAUACCUGAUACUGUGAGAGAGCGUUGCGUCCCAUUAGCUAGUUGGAGAGGUAACGGCUCACCAAGGCGAUGAUGGGUAGCCGGCCUGGGAGGGUGAUCGGCCACAAGGGGACUGAGACACGGCCAUUAGGCCUUCGGGCGGCAGCAGUGGGAAAUAAUGGACAAUGGACAGAAGUGUGUUCCAGCAAUUGUGUGUGCCCGAUGGAGUUUUCGGAAUGUAGAGUGCUUUCGGUUGGGGAGCGGUGCCAACAGAAGAAGUGACGGCUAAAUACGUGCCAGCCGCCGCGGUAAUUC